GAUGAAGAACGUAGUGAAAUGCGAUAAGUAGUGUGAAUUGCAGAAUUCAGUGAAUCAUCGAAUCUUUGAACGCACAUUGCGCCCCUUGGUAUUCCAUGGGGCAUGCCUGUUCGAGAGUCAUUUACACCCUCAAGCUCAGCUUGGUGUUGGGCGUCUGUCCCGCUUCGUGCGUGGACUCGCCCCAAAGGUAUUGGCAGCGGUCCUUGCCAGCUUCUCGCGCAGCACAUUGCGCUUCUCGAGGCUGGCGGAUCGGCGUCCAUCAAGCCCACUUCCACAGUUUGACCUCGGAUCAGGUAGGGAUACCCGCUGAACUUAAGCAUAUCAAUAAGCGGAGGA
rnacentral:misc_RNA from 1 species